AUUGAACGCUGGCGGCAUGCUUUACACAUGCAAGUCGAACGGUAACAGGCCGCAAGGUGCUGACGAGUGGCGAACGGGUGAGUAAUGCAUCGGAACGUGCCCAGUCGUGGGGGAUAACGCAGCGAAAACUGUGCUAAUACCGCAUACGAUCUAUGGAUGAAAGCGGGGGACCGUAAGGCCUCGCGCGAUUGGAGCGGCCGAUGUCAGAUUAGCUAGUUGGUGGGGUAAAGGCCCACCAAGGCGACGAUCGGGAGCUGGUCUGAGAGGACGAACAGCCACACUGGGACUGAGACACGGGCCAGACUCCUACGGGAGGCAGCAGUGGGGAAUUUUGGACAAUGGGCGCAAGCCUGAUCCAGCAAUGCCGCGUGCAGGAAGAAGGCCUUCGGGUUGUAAACUGCUUUUGUAUGGAACGAAACGGUCUGGGUUAAUACCCUGGGCUAAUGACGGUACCGUAAGAAUAAGCACCGGCUAACUACGUGCCAGCAGCCGCCGCCG
rnacentral:rRNA from 1 species